rnacentral:rRNA from 1 species
AAAGGAAUAGACGGGGGCCCGCACAAGCGGUGGAGCAUGUGGUUUAAUUCGAUGCAACGCGAAGAACCUUACCCGGUCUUGACAUCUAUGCGUGAUUCUUCAGAGAUGAGGGAGCUCUGGUUUAACUGGAGACGCUAGACAGGUGCUGCAUGCCUGUCGUCAGCUCGUGUCGUGAGAUGUUGGGUUAAGUCCCGCAACGAGCGCAACCCCUGCUUUCAGUUACCAUCAUUAGGUUGGGGACUCUGGAAGGACCGCUGCGGUAACAACGCAGAGGAAGAUGGGGACGACGUCAAGUCAUCAUGGUCCUUACGACCGGGGCUACACACGUGCUACAAUGGUAGUUACAACGGGUUGCCAAGCCGCAAGGUGGAGCGAAUCCCCCAAAAGCUACCCAAGUUCGGAUUGAGGUCUGCAACUCGACCUCAUGAAGCUGGAAUCGCUAGUAAUCGCGCAACAUCAUGGUGCGGUGAAUACGUUCCCGGGCCUUGUACACACCGCCCGU